UACGGGGGGGGCAAGCGUUGUUCGGAAUUACUGGGCGUAAAGGGCUCGUAGGCGGCCAACUAAGUCAGACGUGAAAUCCCUCGGCUUAACCGGGGAACUGCGUCUGAUACUGGAUGGCUUGAGUUCGGGAGAGGGAUGCGGAAUUCCAGGUGUAGCGGUGAAAUGCGUAGAUAUCUGGAGGAACACCGGUGGCGAAGGCGGCAUCCUGGACCGGCAUUGACGCUGAGGCGCGAAAGCCAGGGGAGCAAACGGG
rnacentral:rRNA from 1 species